GAUGGAGGUUUUUGUACGAUGGUUUCAUUAGAAUGUAUCACUGUGGUGGACUUUUGGUGGAGGCUCCAAACUCGUGGUGAACACGGGUACCACAGCUCCCUCCGUGUCUCUGCUCCCUCCGUCCCCUCUGCAGCUGUCUGAGGGAUCGGCCUCGCUGCUCUGCCUGCUGUCUGGCUACUCUCCACAGGGGGCGCUGGUGAGCUGGACAGUGGACGGCUCAGAGGUGAAGAACGAGGUUCUGACCAGCGCAGAAGAAGAGAAGAACGGCCGUUACAGCCGCAGUAGCACCCUGACCCUCAGCAAAGACCUCUGGGAAAAGGGGGAGGAGUUCAGCUGUAGGGUCUCCCAUAACAACGUCGAUCAUCCGGUCACGUUCAGAAAGAGUCAGUGUGAAGGCUAGUGGAUCCAAGAUAGAGUUUAACAUAGAGCUGCUUAUGAUCCAUCUACAAUAGAGUUUCAAUUCUACACAAUGCUGACAUUUCUGUCUUUACUCUCUUCACUGUCCUGUUGCUCUUCCUGUAGUUUUUGCUGAAAUAAAGCUGAGUUUUGGA